AUAAUUUGUAGUGAUUCAUUAUCUGCAUUAUUAAGUAUAGAAAAGGGAUGUACAAAGAUUUUUCGUUUUUUUUUUAUUCUGGGAUCAUAAGGAUUUGAAGGAUAUAUAUUAGGAUCCAAUAGAUGGCAGUAAUGCAACAACUAUGGAUGCAAGCUGUCGUUAAAUCCUAAAGAAGAAGAAAAAGAAGAAGAAGAAGAAGAAGAAGAAGAAGAAGAAGAAGAAGAAGAAGAAGAAGAAGAAGACGACGACUUUACUGUGUUUGGAUUUUACUGGUAUGCCGGACAACGUCUCGCGUUCAACUCCUCUAGGACGCGAUCCACAACUUUCAGCCAGUCCGCAGACUGACGAGAAGAAACUGCUGAUUGCUAUCAGUGGACUGUCUCGUCAGCUUACUCAACAUACUGCCGACAUGAAUGAGAGGUUCACUCAACUGCAGAAUUCGGUAAACUCCAGGUUGCUGUCCAUAGAGGACAAGAUGGCGGCUCUGCAGUCGAAGAACUGUGCGGGAGAGACUAACUCCAAGAAGAGAAGACGGAUGCACAAAAGCUUGCGUACGCCGUCUUCACAACUCGGAGACAAAUUGCAGGCGCUAUGAACCGGCGCAAGGACUAAGCACGCCUCAUAAUGAGGCAGUUACCUCCUAUCUGCUCGGAGCAAUAACUGCAAGCCUCGAUUUACACUAUAUUGAUAAAGACUACAUUGUGUGUAAGGGACUUGUUUUACU